AUUGAACGCUGGCGGCAGGCCUAACACAUGCAAGUCGAACGAGUGGCGGCAGGGUUGGUAAUGUCUGGGCAACUGACUGAUGGAGGGGGAUCACUACUGGAAACGGUUGCUCAUACCGCAUACCAUCGGAUGUGCCCAGAUGGGAUUAGCUAGUAGGUGGGGUAAAGGCUCACCUAGGCGACGAUCCCUAGCUGGUCUGAGAGGAUGAACAGCCACACUGGAACUGAGACACGGUCCAGACUCCUACGGGAGGCAGCAGUGGGGAAUAUUGGACAAUGGGCGCAAGCCUGAUGCAGCCAUGCCGCGUGUAUGAAGAAGGCCUUCGGGUUGUAAAGUACUUUCAGCUGGGAGGCGUUACCCGCAGAAGAAGCACCGGCUAACUCCGUGCCAGCAGCCGCGGUAAUUC
rnacentral:rRNA from 1 species